AACGCACAUUGCGCCCCUUGGUAUUCCGGGGGGCACACCUGUUCGAGCGUCAUUUAAAACAUCAAGCCCUGCUUGGUAUUGGACGCGGUCGCGCGACCCGUUCGUAACCCGUUGGCGGUGCGGUCCGGCCCCAAGCGUAGCAAACUUUCGCUUCUGGAGCCGUGGCUGUGCCUGCCAGGUAAUGGCCACCUUUAAAGUUUGACCUCGGAUCAGGUGGGGAUACCCGCUGAACUUAA
rnacentral:misc_RNA from 1 species